rnacentral:lncRNA from 1 species
UUAAUUAUAGGUAGAGAAAUCCCCUAAUAAUAAACCUAAUACAUCUAAUUUCAAAGAACCAUCAUAAAUAAUGCUUAAGUUCAAAGAACCAUCAUUAAUAACUCAAAUGAAGCACAUGUGUAAAAAAACCCAUGAAUGUAGACUGAUCCAUGUAAUGUAGACUUAACACAUUGAAUGCUUUUUCUCCCAGAGUUCCAUGAAUGUCGAAG